UUUUUGGAGAAAUUAAAUUGCCCAUAAACUCAUUUCCUCUACAUUUUCUCUCCUAUGAAACUGACCCACCCAAAACUGAAAUCCCCUCAACUUAGAUUCUCAAAACCCUUGAUCAGAAUUCUUUCAAAUCCAAAAUGGCAAAAACCUCUUUGACCAAAGAGAUUGUUGAGAAGAAAAAAGGAAAACGACCACUGGAAGAAGGCAUGCAAGUAGAAAUACAGAAAAAGAAAUAGAAAAUUGGGUCUACAUCGAUGAGCGAAAAAUUUGGAAAAGUGCAGAAGGAAAAGGACUAGAAAAUAGAGAAGAAGAAAAAGAAGGA
rnacentral:lncRNA from 1 species